AAUGAACGCUGGCGGCAGGCCUAGCACAUGCAAGUCGAGCGGUUGACGGGAGCUUGCUCCCUGAUUCAGCGGCGGACGGGUGAGUAAUGCCUAGUAAUCUGCCUACUAGUGGGGGACAACGUUUCGAAAGGAACGCUGAGACCGCAUACGUCCUACGGGAGAAAGCAGGGGACCUUCGGGCCGUCCGCCAAGAGAUGAGCGUGAGGCGGAUUAGCUUGUUGGUGGGGCAAUGGCUCACCAGGGCGCAGAUCCGUAACUGUCCUGAGCGGAUGAUCAGUCACCCUGGAACUGAGAAACGGUCCAGACUCCUACGGGAGGCAGCAGUGGGGAAUAUUGGACAAUGGGCGAAAGCCUGAUCCAGCCAUGCCGCGUGUGUGAAGAAGGUCUUCGGAUUGUAAAGCACUUUAAGUUGGGAGGAAGGGUUGUAGAUUAAUACUCUGCAAUCUUGACGUUACCGACAGAAUAAGCACCGGCUAACUCUGUGCCAGCCGCCGCGGUAACAC
rnacentral:rRNA from 1 species